GACGAACGCUGGCGGCGUGCUUAACACAUGCAAGUCGAACGAUGAAACCUAGCUUGCUAGGUCGAUUAGUGGCGAACGGGUGAGUAACACGUGACUAACCUGCCCCUUUCUCUGGGAUAACGCUCCGAAAGGAGUGCUAAUACCGGAUACUCACAUCGAGGCACAUGCCUUGGUGUGGAAAGUUUUUCGGAAAGGGAUGGAGUCGCGGCCUAUCAGCUUGUUGGUGAGGUAACGGCGCACCAAGGCGACGACGGGUAGCCGGCCUGAGAGGGCGACCGGCCACACUGGGACUGGGACACGGCCCAGACUCCUACGGGGGGCAGCAGUGGGGAAUAUUGCACAAUGGGCGCAAGCCUGAUGCAGCGACGCCGCGUGAGGGAUGAAGGUCUUCGGAUUGUAAACCUCUUUCAGUAGGGACGAAGCGAAAGUGACGGUACCUAAAGAAGAAGCACCGGCUAACUACGUGCCAGCCGCCGCGGUAA
rnacentral:rRNA from 1 species